CACGUAGGAGGCGAGCGUUGUCCGGAAUCAUUGGGCGUAAAGAGCGCGCAGGCGGCUUGGCAAGUCGGGUGUGAAAUCCCGGGGCUCAACCCCGUGACUGCAGCCGAUACGGGCAGACUAGAGUUCGGCAGGGGAGACUGGAAUUCCUGGUGUAGCGGUGAAAUGCGCAGAUAUCAGGAGGAACACCGGUGGCGAAGGCGGGUCUCUGGGCCGAUACUGACGCUGAGGAGCGAAAGCGUGGGGAGCGAACAGG
rnacentral:rRNA from 1 species